CAUGCACAUCUCAUUCGCAUUACACCCCCCUCCCACUGUGUGGUGGUUCACCUCACUCCACUCACCAAGGUCCUUGUCAACCCUCCUAUUGCAGGAUCCAGGCACCUCUUCUCCACACUCACCUUCCUCAGUGCCCUGCUCCCUUCACCAGGUUCACUCACCUUUGCAGAACCCCUCUCUCCCCAUAGGGUUGCCAAAUUAAAAAGGCAGGAAGCUUGAGUCUCAGAUAGACCAGAAUAACAUUUUACUCUACUUAUGACCCAAAUAUUGCAUGAGACACAUUCAUACUCAUAAUUAUUCAUCGUCUAUCUGAAAUUCCAAUUUAACUGGAUAUCCUGCCUUUUUAUUUGCUAAAUCUGGCAACCUUGUUUUCCCGAAUCUCUGCUCCCACACACUCCACACCUUCCUGUCCCUUCUCUAAUUGCUCCUCCUCAGUCCUUCCCUUUAUCAGCCUGGCCCAGGGUGGUGGCCUUGAGCACCUUCUCUUCCUCAACCCUUGCUCUUCUGGGACAGUUCCUCUGGACCUGGGACCCAUCUCCACUUGGGACUGGCCUUGCCAGAGUCCUCCAGGACCUCAUCUCCAGCUCCUGUUGCAGAAGCCACCCAUCCCCUGAGCAUGUGGCAAUGAUCUUGUGCGUGCCUGGACACUGUACCUGCUCAGCCUGACAAGCCAGCCCAAGGGCAUUGUCCUCCCAGCUCUCCGGGGUUCUCCCAGCUCUCACCGAAUCUGCUGCCUUAUCCAGGAGUACACCAAGUACUGGAUCAUGCUUGAUCAACUCCCACCUUCUCUGUGCAGUGCCUGGCCACAGUCAGUACUCAGUCAGAGUUCAUGGAAGGAAGGAGUGAGUGACUGAACAGGUGUUCAUCCCUAACAGACAUCUUGCACUUAGACUCUGUCUCAGUGUUCACUCACGGAGAACACAACCUGCAACAACUGCCUUCACUCCAGCUCUAGAGCUGCCUGAAGUUGGCUCCUUUCCACACACACCUAGGAAGGCCCUGCUUGAGGGCUAUAGUGUCCAGAGGGACUAGGACAUGGUCCCAGGAGCUCCUGUCUCUGGACUGAGCUCUCUCUUCCCUGGGUUCACCCUAUCCCAUCCCUUCACCCAUCCCUCUCCACCAGCCUGACCCUGCCUGCACCCUUCACCCCACCCACCCCCACCACUUGGCACCUCCCGGCUCCAAGCCUCUCUCAGCCUUCCCUGUGGCAUUCAUGUGGCAAAAGCAGCCUGUCUGGACACUAUUAUGAGCCAGAGCCCCCCUCAGCCUCAGUCCUGCUCCCCUGAACAGGCAGACCCU